UUGUGGUCCGGACACCUCACCCUUCCCAGGACCUAACCAUAACCACUCGCCCCGGGAACUUAUGCAGUCGUAGAAUCGGUACAUCACCUCCAAAAUAGGGUACCGUAGAGCCCAAAAUGAGGACUAAAAUAAGGGAUGGACAACUUAUCCAGCAUGGUCAAACCAGCGUUUCCAAGAGGAGAAACGCUGGGUCGGAUAAACUUAACCAAUUUGAAAAUGGACUAUCUCAAACCGAGGGUCCUAAUCCUAAAAUUGAUAUUUGGAAUACUUACCUGUUUGGAUUUAAAAACAAGAGCUGACGUCAUCGCAAAAGGAUGGUGAAGGACCGCCUCCCCAAAAAACUAAGAUCAGGCAUUGGAUCAUUGACCCGGAAGCGUAGUCACGUGGUCUAAAAAUAAAAGUAGGCGGAGACUCGGCCGCCCCCACCAUUUUGCCCAGCUGCUCGACGAGAGAGAAAAACAUCUCCUUAGCCGCUGAAGCCAACAUAAACAGUAAGACGGUUAAUUAACCACUUCACUAAUAAUAAUUAUUCGCUUAUUUACUUAUUUUUCAUGGUGCCCAAGCCUGAGGAAGACCCUAGAAGGUCGAAACGUCGCGACGGGCACUUUAUAGCGCUUCCUUUUUUUUCCUUUUUUUCUCCGUUUGGAAAUGACCUCAUUUGGUUACUUCUCGCCACUAGAGGGCAAUACAGCCCCGUACAUUACACAGGACACACAUAGGCCAAGAAGGGCACUCACACAAAAAGACAACACGUCGUUCUUUUUCUCUCUCUUUUUUAUUUCUUUAAUCAAAAACCAAGACUAAGAAAAGUGGAUAACAGUAAUAAAAAUAAGAAUACAUUUAUAGAAAGGAGGAACACAAAACAGCCUAAACAAAGGAGGUUACUCAAAAAAAGCAAAAACGUGCUGAAUAAAUAAAUAAAUAAAUAAACAACAAACCAAAAACAGCGUAAACAAAGGAGGUGACUCAAAAAAAAGCAAAAACGUGCCGAAUAAACAAAUAAGUCAAUAAACAACAAACCAAGCUUGGGAAUGAUGAAAGGACAAGUGGUUCGCUGUGGGCGAAGACACGCCCGGACUGACCCUAAAGCCAAGAGGUGCAGAUUCGGGGACCAACCGCCUCGGCACCGGGAGGGACGAGAACACUGGGGGAUGGACUGUGCAUUACCUCCUCCCAACAUAACGGGAGGAGAGAUCUUAUCGCUCGCCCUAACCAGCCCGUGCCUCUCCUGGUGUCCACGUUCUCGUUCUGACCGGUCCGGGGCCCGGUUUGGUCCCCCACUCCGCUCUGAUUCGUCGGUAGUCCAAACUGGACGCCCUAAAAAUAACAAAACACAUGGUGGAGAAUUCAACCUCCUAGACAAUUUAUAUCACCGAGUCCGAAUGCGUAGAACUUAUGCAGUCGUAGAAUCGGUGCAUCACCUCCAAAAUAGGGUACCGUAGAGCCCAAAAUGAGGACUAAAAUAAAGGAUGGACAACUUAUCCAGCAUGGUCAAACCAGCGUUUCCAAGAGGAGAAACGCUGGGUCGGAUCAUGGACAAUGCCAAAGGUUGGGGAACCGGGACGGAAGCCCAGCAGACCGACAGGAGGCUGAGUCGGCGAUCGCAACACCCGCAUCGGAAUCGACCGCGAGGGACGAGGAGAACACAAAUACAGUGACCUCGCUGCCAGUCUCAAAACCAGCUUCAGCUGCACAGCAGCAGGACAUCACGACGGCUGCGCCGACAUCGGAGGCCUCUCCCUCCACUGCCGCAAGGGGGGAUGGGAGUCCCCGAUCCGGUGCAACCCAGGACAACCCAACCACCGCCACAGUGGACUUUGACCCGCAAUCGACGGGGGAUGACAGCUACGGAAAAGACUGAGACAAUUGGAAUUGCCAGGGAACCAGUAUCAAUGACCGUGAUCCUGACUUGUCGACAGAAGACGAUGCAUUCGUAAGGAUAAAAGUGCCUUCCGGUCCAACCUAUUUUUUAGUUGACCAAAAGGACUGGGCCUCAUUACAGAAAUUGAGAAAACCCAGAGGAUUCAAGGGCCUUGACUGGCAUUAUUUCCAAAGGAAUUCGAUCCAUCCAUCCAUACUGUUCAAUAGCUUUCAAAAGACAGAACUAAGACACUUGGCUCAAUAAGACAAGGCCCGGAAUUUUGGUGUCUGUGUUACUGUCAAUUUGAGAACUGUCCUGUUGAAGUCACCGUCACAAUAGAUAGCAAAAAGGAUUUUUUUAAGACACUGUACAUUUCAAGGGUGGUAUGAGCAUCCACAAUCGCAUUGAACUAAAGUCAAGACCUGUGAGAGGAAGAGAAAGGGAUUCACUGGGGCAAAAAUUACAAAGAAUUGCCCAGAUCUCUCUACUUAAGAAACCUUCUGAAAUUGGACGAAGCAGUCAUGGAAUCAGGCUGCAGAGAUGAGGCACUCACACCUCCUGUAUUGAAAACCAUUUCAUGGGAAAAGAGGCAAAGUCAUCUGCACAACAAUGAGCUGUUAAGUUUGCAUUUCAUGGUGGAAAGAAAGACUUAAGCCAGAUGUGCUCCAAAAAGUAUUUUUAUUCCCCAAAGGUGUACUGUAUUGACAUUUAUCGUGACAGGACCAGAGAAGACAUCCUCUAUUUGGACGCCACUGGCAGCAUCAUAAAGAAGGAAAAAUGCUCCCCACCAUUCUAUGUGUAUGAGCUUGUUGUGAAGAAUUCAUUGAAAAACUCCUCACCCUUCCCUACUUGACUUGUGAACACACCACUGCCUCGGUCAAGUAUUUUCUUGACACGUUUCAAGGACGUAUGGACAGAGAGCGAUGCAGGCACCAGUAAUGCUUCUAUUGUGCUAAUGCAAGCACUGUGUCUUUCAUUUAUAAAGACCAAUUUGAAUAGCACCAUUGAACAUUACUACUCUAUAGUUUGUGGAAAGGGGACAUCCACAGAUUUUGAAGUACCUAUCCUACACUGUUGCUUGAGGCAUUUGAUGAAGAAUGCCAAGGACAUUUGCAGAAAAUAUUACUAUUUUCAUUAGUAAUUUGAACAAUGUCAUCCAUAUUUGUUAACUGGUUGCUAAUUUUAUCAAUAAAUCUUAUAAAUAUC